GGACUACGGGAGGCAUCAGUUAUUAAUAUUUUUCAAUUUCCGAUAGGCUGAACCAGCCAAGUCGCGUGAGGGAUGACGGCCCUACGGGUUGUAAACCUCUUUUGUCGGGGAGCAAGACCCGCCACGAGUGGCGGAGCGAGAGUACCCGAAGAAAAAGCAUCGGCUAACUCCGUGCCAGCAGCCGCGGUAAUACGGAGGAUGCGAGCGUUAUCCGGAUUUAUUGGGUUUAAAGGGUGCGCAGGCGGACCAUCAAGUCAGCGGUAAAAUCGUGGGGCCCAACCCCAUCACGCCGUU
rnacentral:rRNA from 1 species